UACGUAGGGGGCAAGCGUUGUCCGGAUUUAUUGGGCGUAAAGCGCUCGCAGGUGGUCCGUCGCGUCGUGCGUGAAAGACCCCGGCUCAACUGGGGAGGGUCAUUCGAUACUGUUCGACUCGAAGGCAGGAGAGGGAAGUGGAAUUCCGGGUGUAGUGGUGAAAUGCGUAGAUAUCCGGAGGAACACCAGUGGCGAAGGCGACUUUCUGGCCUGUUCUUGACGCUGAGGCGCGAAAGCUAGGGGAGCAAACGGG
rnacentral:rRNA from 1 species